AGUAUUUGAAUGGCAUUAGUCGGACCAUUAAUUCAAAAAUAUGUACGAUAUAAAAUAAUUGAGAAAUUUUUUAUUCAGUAAUUUGUUAAAAUCGGGUAAUUAAUUAUGAAGUCGCAAUUUAUGGCACUUUUUACACAUUUCUAAAAAAAUUAUUGAUGAAACUAAUUUUUAUCGAGGAUUAAUUUUUUAUUCGUUUUCACUUUUGUUAGCUCUUUUGUCACAACUAAUAAUAAUAGACAAAAGUCUUGUAUCACUCAAGGAUGAAAUAUCACGGGAUUAAACUAUUGAAGCUGGAUUUUUAACCACUAAACAAAUAUUUGAAGACGUAAUCCGUUAAAACACUGGAUUAAAAGAGAAUUAGGACAAAUUCAAUUCAAUUUUAUCGAAGAAUCAGCAGAUUAGACUGUUGUUUAUCCACCACGUUUAUAAAAGAGAUUCUGCUCUCGAUACCUCAGUAGAUAUCGCAAUGAAAGUGCCAGUACUGAUAGGACUAGCCCUCGUGGGCUUGUCUAGUGCCAAAUACGAGGGCUCAACAAUCUUGAGUUUAGCAUUGAAAUCGAAAAUGUUGGAACCGCCAUUCAGGCUGAAAAACACUACCACAAAUCGAGACAAGCUUUAGGUUUGGGAAAAAUUACUUUUGACCAAUAUUUACGCCACGCUGAGAUUAAUGCUUAUUUGGCCCAACUGGCUAAAGACUACCCCGACACUGUCACUCUAGAAACAAUCGGACAGUCGUACGAAAAACAUUCCCCGUUUUCAUUCCGACUACAAUCCGAUCUAUUCUUACAGCAUCUCCUCUUUCACGACAGCUUAUACCGUUUAUAGGUAUGUGUCUAUCGAGGAGAAUCAUCGGCACGACCAUCAAUCCUGAAUACCCCGAAAUAUUGUGGAUUUCAUUUCCUGAUCAAGCUGGUUUGGGUAACUGAACCGUUAAAACCCAUCAGACCGGCUUCCAAUUAUUAAAGUCCAAUAUCAAAAAGGAGUCUUUGCAUUUCUACUAAAACAAUAUAAACUUUGUAAUUCA